UACAGAGGGUGCAAGCGUUAAUCGGAAUUACUGGGCGUAAAGCGUGCGUAGACGGUUGCGUAAGUCAGAUGUGAAAGCCCCGGGCUCAACCUGGGAAUUGCAUUUGAGACUGCGUAGCUAGGGUGCGGAAGAGGGAAGCGGAAUUUCCGGUGUAGCGGUGAAAUGCGUAGAUAUGCGGAGGAACACCGAUGGCGAAGGCAAUCCCCUGGGCCUGCACUGACGCUCAUGCACGAAAGCGUGGGGAGCAAACAGG
rnacentral:rRNA from 1 species